GAGGGUAUAGCUCAGUGGUAGAGUGCGUGCUUAGCAUGCACAAGGUCCUGGAUUCAAUCCCCAGUACCUCCA
rnacentral:tRNA from 1 species